rnacentral:rRNA from 1 species
AUGGAUCCCACCUCCGCUCGGGUCUAUGAAGAUAAGAGUAGAUAUGGAGUUUCUAGAAACCAAAGUGAAGGAUCCUUCAGCGCGGUCUGUAGGGAUGCCUCGGGCCUAUACUUGGGCUCUUCCGCAAUCAGAGUCAGGGAUAUCACUGACCCACCAACCUUGGAAGCAUUGGCAUAUCGAGAGGCGCUUGCUCUGGCACUGGACCUUGGUCUAUCACAUGUAAUCAUCGCCUCAGAUUGCCAAGGAGUUAUCAAGGAUAUACACAAGCAAGAGGGAGGAAUGUAUGCAAGCAUAAUAAGGGAAAUCGGAGACACUGCAAGAACAUUCAAUGACUGCGCCUUCAUCUUCGAGGGUAGAGCUACAAAUAUUGAGGCACAUAGCCUUCCUAAGCACGCUUUCGGUCUAGAUUUCGGGCGCCAUGUGUGGCUUAUAAACCCGCCAGAUCUUUGA